UGUCUGUUGAAUGGACUAGAAUGGAAUGGCAGGAGAGGAUCGGGUCAAACAGGAGUGGUAAAGGCACCACAGACUAUCUCCGCAGGAUGUAGAUGGCCUCGCUACAUUGAUCUCAAGCGUCCGAGACUCUCCUUAUAGUCCUCUUGGUGGUGAUUCCCAAGGCCAUCUGUGGCCUUGGCUCAUCCCAAGCCUCGUUUCCCCUAGAGACUUUCACACGCCGUGAAAACCUGAUCUCCGUUUCAGCCCUGCUCUCUGGAGAGAUCUACAGGCUCCUUUUUGUUUAUGAAAGUAAAUGGCCAAAUGCUCUGCCCAUCGGGAGGACUUUUCCUCACCACCGUCUUUCAAGACCGUGUCUACGUGGGGCUGCAGUACAACGACCUUUCUGCUGGCACCCGCACAUGCAGCUGACCAGAGAUGAACCACGGUUACCUUUGUCUUCCUGUGUCACUUGUCCUCAAGGACCGCCCCGUCUUAUGCAGCCUAAAGAUGAGUAAGGGAGGGGGAUUGGUGUGGACAGCCAGCCUGCUUGUGCAGCUUGGUGAUUUGAUGCCCUCCAGUCCUGUUCACGCUUUAUCCCGGGGCACCACUGCCAUCUGACGAUGUGAUGCUCUGGGCCUGUCCCACGUCAGACCUGGCGUGUCUGACAGAACCCAGUGCACGAUGGUCAGUGCGGCCACACGGGAAGGGGUGCGCCAUGAUGGAGCAUUGUGUCUCAACUAAGGCCCCAUGGCAUGCGAAGGAUUAUUUUCCAAAAGGAGUAUGAUUCCCCACUACAGAUGGCAUAGCCUUUCCCAGAACCCAGGGGUCUCCCUGGCUGUGCCACUGGGGUCUGCCAUAUGGCAUCUUUUCUCACCACUGUUACCUUCAGCACCACAGAUUCUGCUGAGCCAUCCCUGAAGGGGCUGUCAGCUGAGCCAACGGCACACGCUCCCCCUGGGGUGACAGGUCCUCCAUCAAUGGGGGGGCGGUCUCAGUGGCGUAUCAGUGCCCACCACAGUGUGGCUUUCAGCCUCUCUUCCCACUGCCAGAUCCUCACUCUCUUACCAAGUCUCCUUCAUUCAAGUCCACAGGUAGAUAGCCAACGGCAGAUGAGGACAGCUUUGGAAGGGGUCAGAGGCAGGGAAUGCAGGCCGAGGUUUGGCCUCCCUGGGGCUCUUAUCUGUCCAAUGGAGACCUCACCAGCUACUUGUCAUAACCUGUUGGGGAAAGGCAAUGAAAUUACCUAUGCAGCAUGGCUAGCAUAUAGAAGGCACGAAAUCAGCAUAAGCUUUCUAUCCUUUUCCUUCUCUUCACCCUGAAAACAGGAACACUGAAUUUCAACUCAUUUUCUUCAUUUCAAUUCAGUUCAGCUCAACAAACAUGUACUGUGGCAGCCAAGGUCUGCUGUCUAUAGGUUUGCAGAAGCCAUCUCCAGGAUCAGCCCCAGUGAUGCCUGAUCCUGACUUCACAUCCAUGUGGUCCCACCCCAUCCUGUGCCAGGGUUUGUCUGCGCCACCAACAGAAUUGGGCAGAUGAUGGCAUGUCAUUUCUGAUAUGAGGUCAUACAAGACAUCGCAUCUUCCACCUUGGUGCUUUCUCUCCCCUACACACCUGUCCGGAUGCCUCACACUAGAGAAGCCAGCUGCCGUAUCAUGAACAGCCCAAUGGAGCAGCCCACCUGGCAAGGGACUGAAGCCUUUGCCAACAAAUGCAUGAGUGAUCUUGGAAGCCAUCCUCCAGCCCCAGUCCAGCCUUCAGAUGACUGCACCCCCCGUGAACAACCUGAUGAAACCUCAUGAGAGAUCCGGAGCCAGAACCACACAGCUAAGCUGCUCCCGGAUUUCUGACCCUCAGGCACUGUGUGUGAUAAUGUUGUUUUAAAUUGUUGAGCUUUGGGGGCAAUGUUGUACAUAGCAAUAGAUCAUUUCUAUGUCCCACUGCCCCUAGCUUCUUCUCUUCUAAGAGCCAUUAUUCUUCAAGUGUCUGGGGAGAUCCCUAGUGCUCAGAGAAGGUGGUUCUUUAUUGCAAUACAUAAGGAAAAUCAUAAUUUUAAAAAGUCAUGAUUUAAUAAAGCAGUUUUGGAAGCCA